CCUACGGGUGGCAGCAGUAGGGAAUUUUCGGCAAUGGGGGAACCCUGACAGAGCAACGCCGCGUUAAGGAAGAAGUUAUUCGUAAUGUAAAGUUCUUUUAACAGGGAAGAAAGAGAAAUUUGACGGUACCUGACGAAUAAGCUCCGGCUAACUACGUGCCAGCAGCCGCGGUAAUACGGAGGGAGCGAGCGUUAUCCGGAAUUAUUGGGCGUAAAGGGUGCGUAGAUGGCAUAGUAAGUCUUUUGUAAAAAUGCGGGGCUCAACCCAGUAGGGCAAAAGAUACUGAAAAGCUAGAGUAUGAAAGAGGCAAGUGGAAUUAGAUGUGUAGCGGUAAAAUGCGUAAAUAUAUGGAAGAACACCAGUGGCGAAGGCGGCUUGCUGGGUCGAGACUGACAUUGAGGCACGAAAGCGUGGGGAGCAAACAGGAUUAGAUACCCUAGUAGUC
rnacentral:rRNA from 1 species